rnacentral:rRNA from 1 species
UUGAACGCUGGCGGCAUGCCUUACACAUGCAAGUCGAACGGCAGCACGGGGGCAACCCUGGUGGCGAGUGGCGAACGGGUGAGUAAUACAUCGGAACGUGUCCUGUAGUGGGGGAUAGCCCGGCGAAAGCCGGAUUAAUACCGCAUACGCUCUACGGAGGAAAGGGGGGGAUCUUCGGACCUCCCGCUACAGGGGCGGCCGAUGGCAGAUUAGCUAGUUGGUGGGGUAAAGGCCUACCAAGGCGACGAUCUGUAGCUGGUCUGAGAGGACGACCAGCCACACUGGGACUGAGACACGGCCCAGACUCCUACGGGAGGCAGCAGUGGGGAAUUUUGGACAAUGGGCGAAAGCCUGAUCCAGCAAUGCCGCGUGUGUGAAGAAGGCCUUCGGGUUGUAAAGCACUUUUGUCCGGAAAGAAAACGCUCUGGUUAAUACCCGGGGCGGAUGACGGAACCGGAAGAAAAGCACGGCUAGUCCGUC